UACGUAGGGUGCUAGCGUUGUUCGGAAUCAUUGGGCGUAAAGCGCGUGUAGGCGGUUAGAUAAGUCCGGUGUGAAAGCCCUCGGCUCAACCGAGGAAGUGCAUCGGAAACUAUCUAACUAGAAGACGGUAGAGGAAGGUGGAAUUCCAAGUGUAGAGGUGAAAUUCGUAGAUAUUUGGAGGAAUACCGGUGGCGAAGGCGGCCUUCUGGGCCGAUCUUGACGCUGAGACGCGAAAGCGUGGGGAGCAAACAGG
rnacentral:rRNA from 1 species